rnacentral:snRNA from 1 species
GGAUGUGAGGAUGAUCUGGCUGCGACAUCUGUCAUCCUGUUCACCACCAGGGUUCAUUCGGCUGAUCUGGCUGGCUAGGCAGGUGUCCCCUUCCUCUCUCACCAUUUCAUGUGUGUCCCUCCCGAAGCUGCAGUUGAAGAGGGCGACCUUCGCAGAAUAGCGAGGACCAGUCUUCGGUCAAGGAUGUAUGAGUAACUGCGCUUCCCUGCUAGUCCAAACAAGCGCUCAAGUCCUAGCCUUGUUCUUUUCAGAUUUAUGAUUAAUUUCCUGAGAAACUUUAGUUAU